UCAGCCGUGUGCACUUCCGUUCAUAACAUGAUGCAUUUCAGCCCUAUAUGCAGCUAAGCGGGCGAUGACAAACUACAUGUUAUAUUGCUAAGAUAUAAAAUUUUGGAGGUAUUAAAACAAACAAGUUCUUUUAUAGAAAUCUGUUCACAAUUUAUCACUUGGUAGUCCAAGGUAGAUGUUUCCUUUAAAAUGGCUUUGGAUUUUCAUUUUUUUUACCUUGGCAAAAUUUAACACCAAGAACAGUUGUCAGAACAGCAGAAUUAGGAGUUAUUUGGGGAUGAAAAAUGUUUUCACAGAAAUCAAAAUGUUGUUUUUGUGCAAUAUCACUUAGACUACUGUAUAAAUACCAUUUGCUUGUACUCAGUUUUUAAGUCAGAAGGAAAGUGAAACUGAAGUCCUAGAAAAUAGAAAUGUAAUUUUAAACUUUCAAUAAAGCUGGAGGAGCACGGGGA